UCGUUACGAAUGACUAUACUCUAUCCACGGAAGCAAAUCACAGAUACUGCGAACAUUUUACACAAAAAUGUGACGUUUUGUCAUCGGUCGGGUUUUACCGCCAUCUUGAAAAAGUGUCAUUCUUUGUUUAUCUUUUAGCUCUUGCUUCCGUGGAUAGAGUAUAGCUGUUUCACCCGCGUCACGGGGAGAUUCCCGGGCAGAGAUAAAACAUAGCCAACGCAACGCGGGAAUAGUGUAGCUUCCUAACAGCGAAUGAAUAGAAUCAAAUUGCUGGAUCAUCAAACAUUUCUAAUGGUUCGUUUUGAAUGUUGGCUGCCGACUGCAACUGCCGACCGCACAUGCCGCGACUGCAUGAAGUCGGCCGCAGCUGCACUACUGGUUUG
rnacentral:misc_RNA from 1 species